CGGGCCGCCAGGAACAGCGGCGUCUGCUCCUGUACCGGAAGAAACAGCCAGAGGGCGAGAUCAGGGAGGGCCACGCCCACAGGGCUGGCCCUUCCGGACUCCACUCUCUUGACGACUGGCCCCUCCCCAUUCAGGUCCGCGGGUAUCCACGUCAGGGACAUCCAUCUCAGAUUCCUGGGGAGGAGUCAGCAUGGCUGCCUGGGGAAGCUCCUGACAGUCACCCCUCAGAGGACAGAGCUGGCACUUGGAGGGAAAGAGUCUUUCCCAGAGCCUGGGUUCAUCCUCACUCUUACUUGAGGCCAAUGCUAUCUUCACCCAGGGGAGGCCGGCGUCUGCGGGGAGUGGGCUGAGUUCGAGGCCUUCGAAUGAAACCAGGGGGCAGCCAGAGGGCCCCAUGCUCACGGCGCCGCCGCCGGAUGAGCUGAAGGACGAGAAGAGCCCCAAGGGCCAGGAGGAGCACCCCAGCCACUGCUUCCUGAUAUCGGGUUGGUCACUAUACCCCUGGGGAGACCUGUCUCCCUUAAAACUAACUUGGAGUUUUGGCAUUCUGGAAAAUGGGACCUGUCAUUGUUGGUGGGAGUAUUGCAGGCUGGCCCUGCUGAGCAGACCUGAGACACAGUGUCCUUCCUUUGGUGGCCUUUCCUUGGUGGGGAGGAGAAAAGCAGCUGGCCUCCAGACUCGGCACCUUGCUGUGCCACCACCGCUGUGUGCCCUCAGGUGUGUCUGGCCUCUCUUGUCUGGAUUUCCUAAUCUUUAGGCGGGUACAGUGUUCCAGAUAAUGAUAAGGAGACAGACGUCUCAUCUGUUCCCCCCAGUGGCAACAGCGGUGGUGGUGGCUGGCACUGGGCUAAGUGACCACCUCCUGAACAUCAUUCCCUUUCCUCCUCUCGACAAUGUUAUGAAGUGUGGACAUCAGCUGGCAACUGAGGAUGCAGAGAGCUUAACUAUCUGAUGCAAGGGCGCGCGUCUCAUCGGUGGCAGAGCUGGCACUGGACACGUGGGCCCCUGCUCUGAAGCACAAGGCCUGGCAAGUUGCCAUUGACAGUCCUCCUUGUUGUCACACCACAAGAGGCUGGUCUCCCACCCCCAAAUCCUCAGAAUUACCCAGGCACUCAAAAUAUCUCCAUGCCUGGGCCCACCCCAGACCCACUAAAGCAGCCUUUCUGGGACGUGGGCACCAGUAUGUUGCAGGCUUUCCAGGUGAUUGCUGUGCCUUGCCACGUUUGAGAAGCCUUGCUCUUCUAGUCCACCCCUCACAGAUCACUUUCCUCCCUGUGUGGUCUUCACUGCCCUGUCCAGUCCCCUCCCUCCUGGUAGAUCAGAGGAGCCUUCCUCUCCAGGGGCUCUCACCUCUGUCCCAUACGCCUGACUGCUUCCCCAGGCUAGGACACCCUGCCCACCAGGGGUCCCACACCCUCGCCCCAGGGUUGCACCCCUCUUCCUUGCCUUGAUACCCGUUUCUCUCUCUGGGUCAGAUCCCUUCCACCCCCAUUACACCUUCCACCACCACAGUCUUUCCAGGUGCUGUUAUGGGCUCCUACUUGGAAGAAUAAAGGCCAGAAGCCCAUUAUGCAG